AACGAACGCUGGCGGCAGGCCUAACACAUGCAAGUCGAGCGGACCCUUCGGGGUUAGCGGCGGACGGGUGAGUAACGCGUGGGAAUAUGCCCUUCUCUACGGAAUAGUCCUGGGAAACUGGGGGUAAUACCGUAUACGCCCUUUGGGGGAAAGAUUUAUCGGGGAAGGAUUAGCCCGCGUUGGAUUAGGUAGUUGGUGGGGUAAUGGCCUACCAAGCCGACGAUCCAUAGCUGGUUUGAGAGGAUGAUUAGCCACACUGGGACUGAGACACGGCCCAGACUCCUACGGGAGGCAGCAGUGGGGAAUCUUAGACAAUGGGGGCAACCCUGAUCUAGCCAUGCCGCGUGAGUGAUGAAGGCCUUAGGGUUGUAAAGCUCUUUCAGCUGGGAAGAUAAUGACGGUACCAGCAGAAGAAGCCCCGGCUAACUCCGUG
rnacentral:rRNA from 1 species